UUCGUACUUCCGGUUAGAUGAACAACUUCCGCUGACGUAUUUUGAAAGCUUGGCGGUUGAGAAGUUUUUUGUACAUACGACAGGCUUGUUGUGUUGCGCUGGCUGAAGGAUUGGGUUUUAUUUUUAUUUUAAAAGCUUGUGUUUAUAUUAAGUAGGGUAAAAUGGACCCAGCAGCUGCGACGCUUCUUGUUGGACUUGCUGUCAAAAUUAGCCGCAGUGACGGGAGAGUUCACAGUGCAACAGUGAAAACUGUCAAUGCUGCCAAGUCGACAGUACAUGUGGAGUGGAAUGAGAAAGAAGUGACUAAAGGAAAAGAGAUUGACCUGAGUGACAUCUGUCGUCUCAAUGCUGACCUGCUCGAAUAUCUGCAAGCAUCAAACCAAGCAGGACCUUCCACCGCUCCAGCUGCCAACCCUGCACGUGCGCCUAAAGCGGACAAAAAAUCAGAGCAACCUACAAAGUCAUCAAAGAUACCUGCCCCUUCAGAGUUGGCCCCUCCAGCUGGUCCGUCUGAGGAGCCAGUCCCCAGAAGGAUGACCACUCGCCAGACUUGUCUGUUUCGACCACCAACCAUUCCAUCUGCUGGUUUGACUCCUGCUGAUGAUGCUCCCAGUCAGGAGCAGCCCUCGUCUACUAUCCCUAGACCCUCAGGAUUACCAAGUUAUCCGAGAAGACAAGUUGCUAAACCCCCAUCUCCUCUGCUUCCUGCCAUUGAAGCUGUGUCAGAAAGUGAGGCCUCAAAAUGUGCUCCUGCACCCACUGCAAACCAGCGCCUUUCACGAGUUCCAGAAGUAAAUAAGACAACAAACAAAAGGCUGUCCGUGUCGACUAAAAACCCAGAAACCCAGUCCAAGAAAGGAAAGUAUGGAGAUAUGAACCGCCCCAACAAGCAGUUUUACCAGAUGAUAGAAGAAUAUCGAGAGACUGUGGAGAAAGUUCCAUUGUCUUUGAGUGAUCCUGUUGAGCUUCACCGAAUCUGUGUGUGUGUUCGCAAGCGGCCACUAAAUAAAAAAGAAAUAGCUAAGAAAGAGAUUGAUGUGGUGACGAUCCCUGGAAACGGAGUCCUCCUGUUCCAUGAACCCAAGCAGAAAGUCGAUCUCACAAAGUACCUUGACAACCAGCCCUUCCACUUUGAUUACUCAUUUGACGAAGAUGCCAGCAAUGAUUUAGUUUACAGAUUCACUGCCAAACCUCUGGUUAAGACUAUAUUUGAGGGUGGAAGGGCGACAUGUUUUGCAUAUGGUCAGACUGGGAGCGGAAAGACACAUACAAUGGGUGGAGACUUUUCAGGAAAGGCUCAGAAUAGCUCUAAAGGAAUCUAUGCCUUGGCAGCACAGGAUGUGUUUACCCUUCUGCAGCAGAAAAGAUAUGCCGACCUAUGCCCAUACGUGACCUUUUUUGAGAUCUACAAUGGCAAGGUCUUUGACUUGCUGAAUAAGAAGGCAAAACUGCGUGUGCUAGAGGAUGAAAACCAACAGGUGCAGGUUGUUGGCCUGCAGGAGAUGCCUGUCUCAUCUGUUGAAGAUGUCAUAAAGAUGAUUGAGAAGGGGAGUGCAUGCAGAACAUCUGGCCAGACGUUUGCCAAUGCCAACUCGUCCCGGUCCCAUGCCGUCCUGCAGGUUAUCCUGAGACGGCAUAAGCUGCUUCAUGGGAAGUUCUCUCUGGUGGACCUGGCAGGGAAUGAGCGGGGCACAGAUGUCAGCAGCAAUGACCGGCAGACUAUGGUGGAGACAGCAGAGAUCAAUCGCAGUCUUCUGGCAUUGAAGGAAUGCAUCCGAUCUCUGGGGCAGAACAGUGAACACAUCCCCUUCCGGAUGAGCAAGCUCACCCAGGUGCUCCGAGACUCCUUCAUAGGCGAGAACUCCAGAACCUGCAUGAUUGCCAUGAUCUCACCUGGUAUGACCUCUUGUGAUUACACUCUGAACACACUACGUUAUGCAGACAGGGUGAAGGAGUUGAAUGGAUUGUCUAAGGGAGCUGCACAGAACACUAAGCUAACAGAGGAGUCAGAGGAGGGCAGCAGUUCCUUAGAGGAGGAGGGUAUUCCUGCAGAACUUGAAGUCAUGGCCCAGUUCUCUGAAGUGGAGGAGAGGUUCUAUGAAGAUCUGCAGGGUGGCAGUGAAAUUGCCAGAGCGAUGGAGCACACAUCAUAUGACAUUAUAAGCGGUCUACCAGAAAUCGAUGCAUACAUGGAAAGACUUCAAGGAUCUUACCAUGCUCUGCGAUCAGCUAUUGAGGCACUAAAAGCCAGGUCACCCAAUCUGGCAUGACAUGCAAAUGGAGUGGAAAAACCAAAUCAAGUAAUUUGGUUCUUUUGAAUGCUGACUGCUAAUGUUCUGUGUUAACACGUUCCCUUGGUGAGGAAUAAAAUUAUAUAAGACUUAAAAAUGGAGAAAAUAAAGAGCCAGCAGAGAUGAUUUAUUGCUUCAGUGUUUCUGGUGCUUAGUUUUCUGUAUCAACUUUAAUCAUCUUUUCCAGUUC